rnacentral:lncRNA from 1 species
AAAAAUAGUUCAAAAGCUGUAAAAAUAAAAUGGUGAAUUGAGUUUAAAUUAACCAGAAAAGAUAUAAACGUAAUCUUUGGGAUUCAACUUGUAAGGAUGUUCCAAGAACCACUUAGUUGGAGAAGGAAAACUGUGCCGUUCAUUAACAAGUCCCGUGCUUUAUAAUAUAUAUAAAGAUGGUAAGGACGUGAAGAAAACAGGUUUGUAAAUGAUGUUGUACAUCAUGCAGAUAGCUCAGAAGAAGAAGCAGUAAUGUUUGACUGGAAAUAUAAACAAUGUUGUACAUAAUGCAGAUAGCUUAGGCGAAAAAGAGAUUGGUGAAAUGGAGAAUGAGACUAACUACGGUGAAAAAAAAAAUGAAUAUCAAAAUGUGAAUGGUACUUUGUUUGACAUCUACCUGUUUCUACAGAUACAGUGCAGUCGCACUUAUAAAUAGGCUUGAUGUUUUUUUGGAUUGAUAUGUUGUAUUAAUGGUUCUUUUUAACUAGUUAAAACUUGAAGUUAUUAUCAAAUUUAUAUAUACUAUUUUUAUCAAGUAGUUAAUAUAAAAUAAUAAACAUGUAAA